ACUCUGCCUGCAGAGAAGCACACAGCACACUGUGAGGAAGGCUGGGUGACAGGAGAGCCAGGAGCUGUUUGGCUGCAGCCCCGGCCCGCUGCUGAGUGCAGCAGUUCAGGAACCCCGAUACCAUCACAGACCCGGCGCCUGAGCCACACGUAGAUCUGAAGACAGGGACACCAAAUUCUUGCCUUGGGAAACGCCGCUCUCAAUUAUGCAAAAGACCCCAUCAAGUCAGAGCUGAUUCCACUCUCUUGAACCAAAGGAUCCCCAAGAGUGAGUCCCUAAUGUCAUUGGCAUUGGCUAAUAUAUCAAGGUUUAUUUAGACUUUUGUUCCUAAAAGAGACAGCAAAUACUGUCACAAGCACGGUUUAAUGAAAAGUCAUUCUGUUCAUUCAUUCAAUGUGCUAGAUGCUAGGGACAGGGUGGUAAAUGAGAGAUGUGGUCCCUGCUCUCACGGACCUUGUGGGUUAACAGCAGGGAUACAUAACUGAGCAGCUGACUAAUACCGAGCACAAUCAGUGUUAUACAGGGAAUCAGAGGGAAGCAAGGGGUCCUAACUGGUCCAGGUCUUAAGGACAACUCCUCGAUAGUGGAUAGCAACGUUGAAGCUUUGCCCUAGAGGAUGAGCAGGUAGGACAGGCUGGUGGAGCGGGAUGUAAUUGCCCACCUUGGUCAGCAGGCGGCGCAGCUCGGCCUUUCCUUGAAGGCUCCUCAGCCCAGCUGUGUUGGGACUGGACACAUUCACUACCAGGUAGUCAGCCAAGGGGCCCAGGACUCGAACCCCCUCUGCGUAGUCCGAGGCAGCGUCCACCGAGGUCUUAUUCUUCCCCAGGUUUAUUCCCAGUGGCAGCCCAUCUGUAAAUAUCACUGGUCAGGAUUUUGUCCCCACUCACCGUUUCCUGUGCAACAUUUUGAAGCCAUCCUUGACCGAAGAGCCCACGAACAGCCUCACAGGCUUUCCAACCCCAAAUGUGACGUUUCCCGCGCCAGCUGACAAACGCUGACCUACACACGGCGCUGUUGCCUGCGGGCCAAGAACCGAGCCCUCCACCUUCAUCUGCGCAGCUGGGUUUGGGCAGCUCCUAGGAUGUUUUACCGCUUUGUGCCCUUUUUCUUUUUUAAGGUUUAAUGGAAAAUGGAGAAAUUAGGAGCGCAAAUACUAGUGUUUAAAAAGGUAGGGCUCAUAAAUGAAAUACGACUGAGAAGAGACAAGUCAGUAGCAUGCCACAGGGGCAGCUGUUUACCCUCAAGGGCACUUGUUAGACUUGGGUCACGUGACUGGGUGUGCAGUCAUGAAGAAAAAGCAAAAUUAAAGGAUAUGUAUAAAAUACUGGAAAAUAUUUUCGAUUCUCAUGCCUAAAAUGUAGAGGCAUAACGGUUUUAUAAUUUCCAUUCUCUGAGAAGGGACUCCCCCUUGUAACUAGGGUGACCACACAUCCCAGUGCUCCCAGGACAGCCCUGAAUACUCCUGUAGCCUGGGCAUAAUUAUUCAUGCCUGCAUCCCUUCCACUCUCAAAAGUGUUGUCUCAGUUUGCACAGGAAGUAAUAUGGUCACCUUACUUUAAAAUCCAGGGAAUUAUCACCUGACUUGUGUUUUCGACUUUCAGUGUGUUUCUGAAAUGUAUUUUUCUAUGUGUGAAAGCAAGGGCUUGUCUGUACUUGACUUCUCCUAAGAUACUACCUUAUCUGCAAAGGCUAAAGUAUAUCCACGGUACCACCUGCUUUUUCCAGCUAACUGGGACGUCCAGUUAGCUCACAAAAUGUAUGUCAGGUCAGGGAGGAUCAAAGAACAACAUCCAGUACUGCUAACUACCUUCUCACACCUUAAAUGCAGUCACCUGUUUUAUCAUCAACUUGAAAGUAAAUGAAAUUCGUGUCACUCACUUCAUGAGUGGAAGGGAGGGGAGGGGUUUAGCAUCCAGUUAGACAAAUUAUAUAACAAGGUCUCCAAGCCUCCCAAAUCAAGUGAAGAUGGUUUGGAAACUGUAAUUCUUUUCCACACAGGUAAACCAGCUUAAGAGAGAAUAUCACUUUCAUGUAGCCAGUGGAUCUUUCAUUAGUAGCCAUUUGCCCCAAAUGACAAGAUUUUGGAGUUAGACAAAAAUUGCUGAAUUACUCUACCCGCAAAGGGCACCACAGCUCUUAACAACUCACGUUGCUUGGUAUGAUGCUAGCAAUAAGCUGUCUUCAAGGCUUCCAGCUGCCGGUGAACACUAUGUGCAGAGCUCUGCUAUGGGAUUUUGUCUCCAACAAAUGUCAGCACCACAGUGGGGGGCGAGGAACGGGCAAGGGAGAAUGGGAGAAAAGUGGUAUAAGGGGCACCGUGAACAGUUAAAAGAAGGAAAGGGAGACAAGAAGGCAGGAGAGUAUCACAAACCAUGAAAGUCCUAUCAUGACCUUCAAAGCCCACAAGUGGCAAGGUCUAUCUACAGUAUAGCAGGGUCUGGUUCUGCCAAAGCCAGGGAAUUCCAAACAAGGUCAUUUCCUACUCCCCAAAUCAGAGAUUGCUAACUGCCUCGGCCCUUUCAAUCUCGCGUUCAGAAAUGAAUCCAGUACCGCAGGUUUUUCUCAUCUCACCACCAGGACAUCUAAUGAGGCUAAACUCCUGGAAGGAGUUCCAGAAAGGCCCACCAAGGAAGAUGGCUGCAACCCCAUGCAACCCUAGAGGGCACCUGGGAAGGUACAGUGAGGAUGGCAUGGUGCCAAGACCACUAUGUUCACCCCAAGGGACAGCAAGGCAGAGAGCCCCAGGGAAUGAGUAUCAGCACCUCCAAGGCAGCCUUCAGAAAUGCAUGGUGUGGGCUUCCCUGGUGGUGCAGUGGUUAAGAAUCUGCCUGCUAAUGCAGGGGACACCGGUUCGAGCCCUGGUCCAGGAAGAUCCCACAUGCCGCAGAGCAACUAAGCCCCUGCGCCACGACUACUGAGCCCGCGUGCUGUACCUACUGAAGCCCAGGUGCUAGAGCAGGUGCUCCGCAACAAGAGAAGCCACUUUAAUGAGAAACCCAUGCAAUGCAACGAAGAGUAGCCCCUGCUGGCUGCAACUAGAGAAAGCCCUAGUGCAGCAACAAAGACCCAAUGCAGACAAAAAUAAAUCAAUGAAUUAAAAAAAAAUGCAUGGUGUUUCCAAAUAAGUCAUGAAGGAUAUUUUCCCCAAUGCCGGGAGUAGUUAUCUCUGAGUAGGGAAGAGUGUGAGUAAUUUUAAUGUUCUUCUUUAUGCUUCCCUGCAUUUACUAACACUUCUAUAAUUAGCAUUCAUUAUUUAUAAUGGACAAAAGGACAACAGAGCAGGAUGUACAAAGAUGGCGCCCAAGCCCUGCUCGCAUCAACUGCCUAUGUGAUCACAGCAGCCACUCUGCACUGCUUACUUCCAAGCUGUCCCAGUUUGACACAGGUUACAUAACGAGGCAGGAACUAAGUGUAUCUUUGCUCAGUUGCGAAAUUCAGUUAAGAGCUUGGAGGGUGUGAUGGAGCCAGGAAUAUUCCUCUAGCAGAGGAGCCCUGAGUUCCAUACUGUUUUUUCCUAUUGUUCAAUCAUGUUCACUUCACUAGGAAUGUUCCUGACAUUCUCCCACAAGUUUCCUUCCAACAACUGAAGAACAGCUCUCUUAGGCAGGCCCCCUUUACCUUCUGUGAGCCUGGCCUGCGUCUGCUGUCUGGCCCGUAACCUGUGUUCCACCACUGAGAGUCCAUGACUGUUGAAUCCGUAUCUGUAGCACAGAAGAGCGUUAGGGAGGAGAUAAGGUUAGAGCCCUCAGGCAGAAAGCAAAGACUCUGGAGGGAUGGCUCCAUGGCCAUUUUCAACAUAUAUUUAUGAUGUAAAAACCAAAGAAAAAAAUCAGAGUCAGUUCUUAGACUUCUAAAGUCUAAACACCCCUGGAAGUCCUAGAGAACUUGCCAGAACACCAUCAAAUACAAAGGGAAAGAUUAAAAUUUGCCAACAAGCCACUUAGCCAACUAGCACUGUAAACAGCCCAGACCUGUCUGGACCUAGCCCACUCCUGCUUCCCACCCAACGGGGCCCUCACCACUCUGAUGACCCAUCUUCCCACCUCCUGCCUGUGCCCCACGAACACGCUUCCUGGAACCCAUCCUGCCGCUCCAUUCCCCCAUCCUUUCUACCUAUUAAAUCUCCCUCUUCCUGGCCCAAGUCAAAUGCACCCUCUCCUCCUUGCAUAAAGCUCCGAGCCACAAAUGAUCCCUCACCUCCUGGCAUUCAUGGAGUGCUUUGUACCUAUCUUUCUCCUAGCUUGGGAUGUACGUAUAUGCUUCAGUUCCCCUACUGGGUUCCAGUCUCCUCGAGGACAAGGGACACAUCUCCUCCCUCACCUGCCACUAGACACUCCGCAAAGGCUGGGCCUCGCCCCUCUUGAUCAUCUCUACGUCCCCAGCCCCACUGUGGGUUGUUGGCCUAAUGGCCAUCCCCACUCCCUUCCUCCUUGCCUGUGGAACCCAGCUCCCCUGACAUGGGGUGAAAAUGCCAAUGGCUCCUUUCCCAGCCUCGCUGGCAACUCAAGCAUGAACUUGAGAUGGGGCUUGGUCACUGAGACACAAGGUGAUGCCUACCAGGGAGCUUCUGGGAAAAUAUCUCCCCCCAUAUCCAUACUUCCUUUCCCUUUCUGCUCUCUGAUGUCCUCAUGCGAGGACGUAUGCUUGCAGCUGGGGUAGGCAUCUUACAAACGAGAAGGGAAGGCCCAGAGGUUGGACCAGAGUACUGACGCCACCCUGCCGCUCAACCAACCCUAAAACUGCCUACUUCACCCGUAACGAGAAGAAAAUAAUAACAAAAGCCUAUUGUUUAAGCCACUUUGCCACUUGCAGCCAAAAACACCUAACAGAUACAUGUAGUUGUUGACUCAUGUUCAUUCAGCACCCACCCUGUGCGAGGCAGAGCAGGGAGCCUGGGCACACAAGUGCUUGGAGCUCAGGCCCGGCCCUCUUGUGCCACUUCUCACCCGCGGGACUCUGCCAGGCACUGUCUUCCUGGUACCUGCAGUUAUUUGUGGCAGCCGAAUCAUCAACAAAUAUUUUUUGCCCGAACGUUCUGAAGAUAUUGAUCCCAGCCUACACGGGAAAGGUCAAUAACUCGAUGUCUAAUGCUGGAAAUUUUCCCCUAAACAAGCACGAUGAUGCAGGACGUGCAGCCAAAUAAACCACGUCAGUCUCCCAGGAGGCCCUUCAUGAUCCCAAAGGUGCCUACCAGCGCCCCCAACGAGGCUCUCAAAACUCUGUUACCGAAAAGAAGGAACUUCUUCACUCUCUGGGUUAACUGUAGUGAAAACUGCCCAGGGCUUACAAAGAGAAGGGCUUUACACGGUCUAGAAGGACCUCUCUUCCUAAAAGCAGCCGUCUAUGUUGAUUAUUAAAUUUCCCAGUUACUAAAGGCUGGAGCUGUGCUGUCAGGUGCAAGAGCCACUAGCCAUGUGUGGCCACUGAGAGCGAAGCCUGGCCAGUCCAAAGCAAGAGUGCUGUAAGGAAAACAUACUGGAUUUCGAAGACUUGGUACAAGUGAAAGAAGGGAAACAGCCAGUCAUUUUUAUAUUGCUUAAUAUUAAAAUUAUGAUAGAGUAUAUUAAGUAUUUCUAAUUAAGUAGUAUAAUGAAUAACUGUUACAAAUAACAAUUAAAUAGAAUAUAUUAUUAAAGUUAAUUGCACCUGUUUCUUUUUGCUAUUUUAUUGUGGCUACUAGAAUAUUUUAAAUUACAUAUAGGGCUCAUGAUAUUUCUACUGGACAGAGCUGGGCAAGGACACUGGAGUAACAAUGUGGAAAAAGCACAAACUCUAAAGUCAGAUAAGCCAACAUCCGUUCCCAGGUUCUCCCGCUUCUGAUCUCGUGACUGUAGCUAAGUCGUGUAGCUCUCUUAACCUCAUCGUGUAUACACGUUAAACGGAAAUCAUAAAACCUGCUUUUACGCCCGCACAGAGUAGAUGCUCAACAUCCAGAACAUUCCAAAUGACAGAAAAAUGUCCACACUGUAUGGCAGAAAAAACACCCCGAGUGUCCUGCUGGGGAGAAGGCUGCUCACCUACCUGUUAAUGACGGCUUGGUCCUCAGGGAGGCGGAAGACCCUGGGCCUGGGGUUUCCUUCCUGAGGUUUUGGUGUAACACUGCCUAUCUCAACAAAACCAAAGCCCAUCUUGUAAAGUCCAUCCACAGCUUCCCCGUGCUUGUCAAAUCCUGCAGCGAUUCCUACUGGAUUUCGGAAUUUAUGGCCCAGGACUCUCACUUCCUAGGGAGAAGGGGACAAAGUCACAGGCACACAAGGCCACGUUGGUGUUUCUCAAAGCGUGGUCCACGGCACGCCUACAUCAGAAUCACCUGCUUGUUAAACAGCAGAUCCCAGGGCCCAUCCCCGGACUAAGGAAUCAGAAUCUCUGGGGGAGGGUGGGGAAGAAUGGAACUCUGAGGGAACUUGUUUUUAACAGUGCUCUCCAGGUGAUUCUGACGCCAGCCAGAGUUUGAGAACCAUCGGGCUUUAUCAUCACUGAGGAGAAAAACAGUGUUUCCACCAUGGGUUGAGCGGGAGACAGGUGCUGCCUUUUCCAAUUACGGUGAAGAACUGUACCUUCUUAUCCACUAUUUAGCCCCUAGAUGGUGCUAUUCUGAAACAGUCAGGCAGCAAAAUCCUUUAAUCUUAGUAAGUCAGCCCCCGCUGUGUCCCUCCUCAGCUAGGUGAUGCCACGGCCCAGCUGUGUCCUCACGACUCCAGUGCUCGACCCAGCAGCACUGAUUGCUGGGCCCCAGAACCAGGCUGGGCUGGAAGCAGGUUCUUUCCUGGUAAACAUGGGGCGGAUUCCUGAUUGUUCUCUAUGAUGAAAGUGACUGGGGCCUAAUUACUGUCAGGUCUAGCCUAACUCCUGAGGGACUUAGUAUUCACACCCUGAUCUAGCCAACAAAUCUAGAAGCAAGAUAAAUACGUUAAAAUGUGGGAAAGGAAUCGGGAUAUCGUAAAGUCAGCAGUUGCCAACAGCAUCGUCACUGUCAGCUGAUAUGGCAGGAAAGCCUGUGCCAGGACUAGCAAGGACCUCCAAGGGUGGUACCAUCUGGCCUUGGAAGCAGGAGGAAGCAAGGCUGCCCCAAGGAGGGGAAGAAGAGAUGGCAGUGAGUGUGUGCGUGCGGUGCCUCGGGGACUGGGAGGCUGGGAGGGUGGCCACACUGGGGGCCCUGGGGGCCGUGCUCCAGGACGGGUCUCUCGGCCCCGGCUGCUCAACAGGCUCCCUGGGCAGCCUUCAGUCCUCAGGCCCAGAGAUGACGGUCAAAUGGGGCUGGCACCAAACCAGAGCAUCUGCGUACAGGUCUCCCCCACCUUUCCGAAGUUCUCUUUAUGCCACUUUGCUUUUACGAAAGACCUACAUUUGUACCUGUUUCUCUAACCAACAGGAAUCCAAAGAGGAUUUUCACUUUUACAGAAAAAGGUGCCACGUGUGCUCAAAACUGCAGGAUGGGAAGUGAAAGGGAUUCUAAGACAAAAAGGGAAAAUGUAGAGAAGGCCCCUUUGAUUGCUAACAGUGACCCUUCCCCAAAGAGGUCUGAGUGUGUCUUCUUCAUGUUCACGUCAUUCUAAUGUUCCCCAUUUGGUGAGAAGUCUCCUGAAUGGAAACCGUCUGGGCUUGCACGAGGAUGUAGAUUCUAGGACGUGGAUUCUUGCACUUUGUUCGCUGCAGAAACCCCAGCACACAGAAGAGUAAGGGGAUACGGUGGGGCCCCUGUGUUGAAUGCAGGACAGAAUGAGGCUGGGACAGGAGUCGUAUGCUUUCCUCAAAGGGCUUGGCUAGACAUGCCUACAUCACAUUAGAUGUUAGUGAUGCUGGCAUGCUUCCCUUUUCAGCAGAGGUGAACACUGAGCUACCCGAGACCUCCGCGAGGCAGGAUGGCGGCUAACGGACGGAUGCUGAGCCAGACUCCAUGGGUUUGAUUCCUGGCUCAGCCACUUCCUAGCUGUGUGCAUUUGGGUGUUACAGGAGUACCUACCAGCAUGUCAGAGUCUUGAAACGUGGCACGAGGAAGGAGCCCCAGGGAGGUGACGUGAACAGCCAGCCUGUGGGCUGCCUCGGGGUUCAGCAGCCCCUGCAGAGCCGGCAUCAAGUGGUCCGCGUAGAAACGUUCAUCCCCCGUGGCCGUCAGGUAGGAGGCGAAGAGAAGUCCUCCGCCCCCCAGGAUCACCAUGGCAUCCUGGGCCCGCUUCUGGAAAAAAGAGCCAAUGGGGCCCCCUCAAGGCUAGGCUGUAGCACCUUCUCUGAACCCUUUACACGACUCACACACACACAGAGGACAUAACAUGCAGUGAUGUCCGUGGCCUUCUGCUAACGCUGGUCUCUUUGGGUUCUUGCUCACGUAUUGCCUCUACAGUCAGAGUCUGUAUCUGCACUUCUGCUGACAGGCAAUCCUCUAGCCCUGAAGGACUCCAGGCCAGGGAUUUCAAGAGGGGCAAGGCUUCCCUGGUGGCGCAGUGGUUAAGAAUCCACCUGCCAAUACAGGGGACAUGGGUUCAAUCCCUGGUGCGGGAAGAUCCCACAUGUCGCGGAGCAACUAAGCCCGUGCGCCACAACUACUGAAGCCCGCACGCCUAGAGCCCGUGCCCUGCAACAAGAAGCCACCGCAAUGAGAAGCCCGCACACCGCAACGAAGAGUAGCCCCCACUUGCCGCAACUAGAGAAAACCCGUGUGCAGCAACGAAGACCCAACGCAGCCAAAAAUAAAUAAAUUAAAU